rnacentral:rRNA from 1 species
CUGGCGGCAUGCUUUACACAUGCAAGUCGAACGGUAACAGGGUUAAGCUGACGAGUGGCGAACGGGUGAGUAAUGCAUCGGAACGUGCCCGAUCGUGGGGGAUAACGCAGCGAAAGCUGCGCUAAUACCGCAUACGAUCUGAGGAUGAAAGCGGGGGACCGUAAGGCCUCGCGCGAUCGGAGCGGCCGAUGUCAGAUUAGGUAGUUGGUGGGGUAAAGGCUCACCAAGCCGACGAUCUGUAGCUGGUCUGAGAGGACGACCAGCCACACUGGGACUGAGACAGGCCCAGACUCCUACGGGAGGCAGCAGUGGGGAAUUUUGGACAAUGGGCGCAAGCCUGAUCCAGCAAUGCCGCGUGCAGGAAGAAGGCCUUCGGGUUGUAAACUGCUUUUGUACGGAGCGAAAAGGCUCUCUCUAAUACAGGGGGUUCAUGACGGUACCGUAAGAAUAAGCACCGGCUAACUACGUG